CUGAAGGAAGUCAUAAAAUCCUUUACUUAAUUGGAGGAAGCACUGAGACUCACUUCAUGAACUUGUACUUUUUAAAGGUAGAUUGAAGAUAAGUUGUUGUGCUGCACUAUUUCUGUUGCUACUCGUGAGAGUCACUACCAGCCUCUCUUCUCAGGUAGGUCUGCCUUUGUGGAGGUUUCUGUUGACCUUUAUAAAGAAAGAACCCCCAAAAAAGUUUGCAACUUAGAAGAACUCUCUGGUUCAAUGACAGGGUGUUAAAGGGGUUGAGGACAGAGGAAAUGACAC
rnacentral:lncRNA from 1 species